UACGAAGGGAGCUAGCGUUGUUCGGAAUCACUGGGCGUAAAGCGCACGUAGGCGGAUGUGUCAGUCAGGGGUGAAAUCCCGGAGCUCAACUUCGGAACUGCCUUUGAUACAGCACGUCUUGAGUCCGAUAGAGGUGGGUGGAAUUCCUAGUGUAGAGGUGAAAUUCGUAGAUAUUAGGAAGAACACCGGUGGCGAAGGCGGCAUCCUGGACCAACACUGACGCUGAGUGAGCGAAAGCCAGGGGAGCAAACGGG
rnacentral:rRNA from 1 species